GACGAACGCUGGCGGCGUGCUUAACACAUGCAAGUCGAACGGUAAGGCCCUCCGGGGUACACGAGUGGCGAACGGGUGAGUAACACGUGGGUGAUCUGCCCUGCACUUCGGGAUAAGCCUGGGAAACUGGGUCUAAUACCGGAUAGGACCACUGCCUGCAUGGGUGGUGGUGGGUAGCUUUUGCGGGUUGGGAUGGGCCCGCGGCCUAUCAGCUUGUUGGUGUGGUGGUGGCCUGCCAAGGCGACGACGGGUAGCCGGCCUGAGAGGGUGACCGGCCACCCUGGGACUGAGAUACGGCCCAGAAUCCUGCGGGCGGCAGCAGUGAGGCAUAUUGCCCAAUGGGCGCGAGCCUGAUGCAGCGACGCCGCGUGAGGGAUGACGGCCUUCGGGUUGUAAACCGCUUUCAGCACCGACGAAGCGCAAGUGACGGUAGGUGCAGAAGAAGGACCGGCCAACUACGUGCCAGCCGCCGCCGUAA
rnacentral:rRNA from 1 species